rnacentral:rRNA from 1 species
UACGUAGGGUGCGAGCGUUUGUCCGGAAUUACUGGGCGUAAAGAGCUCGUAGGUGGUUUGUCGCGUUGUUCGUGAAAUCUCACGGCUUAACUGUGAGCGUGCGGGCGAUACGGGCAGACUGGAGUACUGCAGGGGAGACUGGAAUUCCUGGUGUAGCGGUGGAAUGCGCAGAUAUCAGGAGGAACACCAACAGCGAAGGCAGCACUCUGGGCCGGUACUGACGCUGAGGAGCGAAAGCAUGGGGAGCGAACAGG